UACGAAGGGGGCUAGCGUUGCUCGGAAUCACUGGGCAUAAAGGGUGCGUAGGCGGGUCUUUUAAGUCAGGGGUGAAAUCCUGGAGCUCAACUCCAGAACUGCCUUUGAUACUGAAGUCUGUAGUUCGGGAGAGGUGAGUGGAACUGCGAGUGUAGAGGUGAAAUUCGUAGAUAUUCGCAAGAACACCAGUGGCGAAGGCGGCUCACUGGCC
rnacentral:rRNA from 1 species